rnacentral:rRNA from 1 species
UGGCGGACGGGUGAGUAAUGUCUGGGAAACUGCCUGAUGGAGGGGGAUAACUACUGGAAACGGUAGCUAAUACCGCAUAACGUCGCAAGACCAAAGAGGGGGACCUUAGGGCCUCUUGCCAUCGGAUGUGCCCAGAUGGGAUUAGCUAGUAGGUGGGGUAACGGCCCACCUAGGCGACGAUCCCUAGCUGGUCUGAGAGGAUGACCAGCCACACUGGAACUGAGACACGGUCCAG